rnacentral:rRNA from 1 species
GACGGGGGGGGCAAGUGUUCUUCGGAAUGACUGGGCGUAAAGGGCACGUAGGCGGUGAAUCGGGUUGAAAGUGAAAGUCGCCAAAAAAGUGGCGGAAUGCUCUCGAAACCAAUUCACUUGAGUGAGACAGAGGAGAGUGGAAUUUCGUGUGUAGGGGUGAAAUCCGUAAAUAUACGAAGGAACGCCAAAAGCGAAGGCAGCUCUCUGGGUCCCUACCGACGCUGGGGUGUGAAAGCAUGGGGAGCGAACAGG